GCCUCUAUAGCUCAGUGGUAGAGCACUGGUCUCGUAAAUCAAGGGUCGCGAGUUCAAUCCUCAGUGGAGGCG
rnacentral:tRNA from 1 species